ensembl:lncRNA
UAGCUGGCUGUUAGCUGGUAGUUAGUUAGCUCGCAGUUAGCUGGUAGUUAGCUGGCUGUUAGCUGGUAGUUAGUUAGCUGGCUGUUAGCUGGUAGUUAGCUAGCUGGCUGUUAGCUGGUAGUUAGCUAGCAUUAAUGGGUUUCAGUUCUCUUCCAGCUUGUGCUGACGGCUCCUCUGAUCCAUCUUGUUCUCGCUCGGUUCCUCACUCAGACGACGGAUCAGCCGAUCUGGUCCGAGUCCGUCUGGGUCAGUUCUGUCCUGGUCCUGGUCCUGGUCCACCCUGUGAAAUGGAUUCUGGGUGUUUUUCUCUGUGGAAGAUGAUGAUUAAAGCCAUUAAUGAACUCACUGUCCUGACCUCCAAACAAGGCUGGUUCUGGUGCUGGUUCUGGUUCUGGUUCCUGGCAGUGAAGGUCAGGUCGGCCCUGGAUCCUUACCGACCUUCUGCUUCUUCUACUGUUGCUACCGUCAAACAGCCUUCUGGGCAGCAGGUCUGUGCUGCAGGUCUGUGCUGCUCCAGCCCGGAGCUGCAGGUCUGUGCUGCAGGUCUGUGCUGCUCCAGCCCGGAGCUGCAGGUCUGUGCUGCUCCAGCCCGGAGCUGCAGGUCUGUGCUGCAGGUCUUCUCAUCUUGUCGGUGCUGCUCUCCAACACCAGAUGUGAACCGUCUGUACUUCUGCUGCCCGGGUCAACAACACAACCUGUUGCUGUCUGCUGUAUUUCAAUAAAGCCGCCUGUCAAAGGUCAAAGGUCGUCUGUGCUUCCCUGAGUCUGUCUGUUGCUCCUCGGCCGACCAGCUUCCUGUUCCCGUGAGCGACGUGGGUGCAGCUAAAUGGACCCGGGUCGACCCGCAGGUCCGUUCUGGGUCCUCUGGUUCUGGAUCUGGAUCAGAACGGAUCCUUUAUCCGUCCAUGAGCAGGUCAAAGGUCAGCCAGGGCCACAUGGAGCCCCUGGGCUUCAGUCAUGUGUCUGUUACCACGGUAACAUGAAAGCAUUCACCUGCAUGACUUCAAACCUGCUGCCCCUCACACACACACACAGAAACACACACACAGAUACACACACAGAAACACACACUCACACAUCUUUAUUUUGUUCAUUUUCACACUGCAUCUCUUUCGCACACAGUUUUACACAUUUCUCAUUGUCACAUUAUUUUCCCUCUAACACACACACACACACACACACUCUCACACACACACAGAUGUGUGUCUCUCCUCUAAACAUCCUCGUCUUCAUCAACCCCCUCGAGCCCACCAGCAUCUGCUGUGUGUGUGUGUGAGAGUGUGUGUGUGUGUGUGAGAGUGUGUGUGAGAGUGUGUGUGCGUGUGUGUGUGUGUGAGUGUGUGGCGUCCUUUCCCUGAGAACCCUGGUCCCCCAGAGAACCCUGGUCCCCCUGAGAACCCUGGUCCCCUUGAGAACCCUGGUCCCCCUGAGAACCCUGGUCCGACUGCAGUGGUGCUGACUGACGGUGCUGCUCAUCAGAACAUCUUGGGUCGCCUCCUCACAGACGUUCCUCCAGAACCGUCCACACGUUGCUCCGUCUCCUGAUCGUCUCGCGUGUCUCCAGGCUGUGGAUCUUCUGAUCUCUGAACAAGCAGCCUGGAGCAGCACCCGUCCUCAAACAGUCCUCGGAUCACAUGAGAACGCGGUUCCUCCUCCUGCCCCCCCACCGGAGCUCCGCAGUGUCCCAGUAGAACCGGUCCAGUUACAGCUAGCAUUAAGCUAAGAGAGCGCCGUGAGUACCUGUUGUCAUAGAAACGAUACAGAAUGCAGCUCAGGGUGCUUUUGGUCCUGCUGUGGUCCUGCUGUGGUUCUGUGGUCCUGCUGUGGUCCUGCUGUGGUUCUGUGGUCCUGCUGUGGUUCUGCUGUGGUUCUGUGGUCCUGCUGUGGUCCUGCUGUGGUUCUGAGGACAUGAGCCGCUCCUCUGACCCACGAGGCCUCUGGGAAAUACGAGUCAUGUGACGACGGCGAUGUCGUGCAACGUGCACAGACACGAGCGCAGCCGCGUGCACGUGCCUGGAGGCUCUUUGUUAGCUCAUCGGCUCCAAACCCACAGAGGCCUCCGGCUCCUCUGGAACCGAGCGCAGAACAAAGAGCCGCUGAUGUUCCGCAGAUGUGAUCUCGGAUCAGAACCAAAGAGCCGGAACUUCCCUCACGAAUGUUGGAGGACGGCGAGGGGGCGUCGCCCAAAACCACAAGCGGGCAACAUCAAAGCAGCUCUGCCGCAGCGGCGGCUCAAGCUAAUGCUGCCACUUUAACGCUAACGUCAACGGUUAGCGUCCUUUGAUCUACAUUCGACAGCUGACAAAAACAGCAACAUCAAAGCGACGUAUGAAAGGUGUCUUCAAGCGUGAACAUGUGACAGACUCGCUAACCUGCCGAAUGCUUCAUUCUGAGACUCUUUAGUCAGACACGAGAUAACGGACGCUUCAGUGACAAUAUGCACGCUAAUUAGCAUUGGUGCUAACGUAUCGUUAAAAGGGCUUUCGUGUCACAAGUUUUGCAGCUCAGGUUUUCUUAGAAACCCCUUUGAUCUAGCGAAGGAGCAGGAAAAGCUGGGUUAGCUUCCCGCUCACGGUCGGAGAAACAAACUCAGAAGCUGCAGUUUACAAGUAUGAAGUGACGACGACCGAAGAUUUACAGGAAUAACUCAGGCGCGAUCAAAGCUAGGCUAGGCUAGGCUAAACCCGAG